rnacentral:rRNA from 1 species
UACAGAGGGUGCGAGCGUUGUCCGGAAUCACUGGGCGUAAAGGGCGCGUAGGCGGUCUCUUAAGCGUGUGGUGAAAGCCCGGGGCUCAACUCCGGGUCGGCCGUGCGAACUGGGGGACUGGAGCUUGUCAGAGGCAGGCGGAAUUCCGGGUGUAGCGGUGGAAUGCGUAGAGAUCCGGAAGAACACCGGUGGCGAAGGCGGUCUGCUGGGGUGAGGCUGACGCUGAGGCGCGACAGCGUGGGGAGCAAACAGG